GGUUAAGCGACUAAGCGUACACGGUGGAUGCCCUGGCAGUCAGAGGCGAUGAAGGACGUGCUAAUCUGCGAUAAGCGUCGGUGAGGUGAUAUGAACCGUUAUAACCGGCGAUUUCCGAAUGGGGAAACCCAGUGUGUUUCGACACACUAUCAUUAACUGAAUCCAUAGGUUAAUGAGGCGAACCGGGGGAACUGAAACAUCUAAGUACCCCGAGGAAAAGAAAUCAACCGAGAUUCCCCCAGUAGCGGCGAGCGAACGGGGAGGAGCCCAGAGCCUGAAUCAGUGUGUGUGUUAGUGGAAGCGUCUGGAAAGGCGCGCGAUACAGGGUGACAGCCCCGUACACAAAAAUGCACAUAUUGUGAGCUCGAUGAGUAGGGCGGGACACGUGGUAUCCUGUCUGAAUAUGGGGGGACCAUCCUCCAAGGCUAAAUACUCCUGACUGACCGAUAGUGAACCAGUACCGUGAGGGAAAGGCGAAAAGAACCCCGGCGAGGGGAGUGAAAAAGAACCUGAAACCGUGUACGUACAAGCAGUGGGAGCCUCUUAAUGGGGUGACUGCGUACCUUUUGUAUAAUGGGUCAGCGACUUAUAUUCUGUAGCAAGGUUAACCGAAUAGGGGAGCCGAAGGGAAACCGAGUCUUAACUGGGCGUUAAGUUGCAGGGUAUAGACCCGAAACCCGGUGAUCUAGCCAUGGGCAGGUUGAAGGUUGGGUAACACUAACUGGAGGACCGAACCGACUAAUGUUGAAAAAUUAGCGGAUGACUUGUGGCUGGGGGUGAAAGGCCAAUCAAACCGGGAGAUAGCUGGUUCUCCCCGAAAGCUAUUUAGGUAGCGCCUCGUGAAUUCAUCUCCGGGGGUAGAGCACUGUUUCGGCAAGGGGGUCAUCCCGACUUACCAACCCGAUGCAAACUGCGAAUACCGGAGAAUGUUAUCACGGGAGACACACGGCGGGUGCUAACGUCCGUCGUGAAGAGGGAAACAACCCAGACCGCCAGCUAAGGUCCCAAAGUCAUGGUUAAGUGGGAAACGAUGUGGGAAGGCCCAGACAGCCAGGAUGUUGGCUUAGAAGCAGCCAUCAUUUAAAGAAAGCGUAAUAGCUCACUGGUCGAGUCGGCCUGCGCGGAAGAUGUAAC
rnacentral:rRNA from 1 species